GCUGCUCCUAGAGGCAUUGCAAGUGUAGCUGCUGUGUCACAUGUAUGUCAGUAGGUGGCAGAGAGGAGAGAGGCUAUGUGCACGCUGUGUUCUGACCUGUGGACCUCUAAAUGAUUAGUUGCUUAACCCU